UAUUUCACAAUGGGCGCAAGCCUGAUGCAGCAACGCCGCGUGAGCGAAGAAGGGCUUCGGGUCGUAAAGCUCUGUCCUUGAGGAAGAAGGAAGUGACGGUACUCAAGGCGGAAGCCCCGGCUAACUACGUGCCAGCAGCCGCGGUAAUACGUAGGGGGCAAGCGUUAUCCGGAAUUAUUGGGCGUAAAGAGUACGUAGGUGGUUUUGUAAGAGCGGGGUGAAAGGCAGUGGCAUAACCAUUGGAAGCCUUGCGAACUGCAAGACUUGAGUGCAGGAGAGGAAAGCGGAAUUCCUAGUGUAGCGGUGAAAUGCUUAGAUAUUAGGAGGAACACCAGUGGCGAAGGCGGCUUUCUGGACUGUAACUGACACUGAGGUACGAAAGCGUGGGGAGCAAACAG
rnacentral:rRNA from 1 species